CAAGGUUGACCUCGGAUCAGGUAGGAAUACCCGCUGAACUUAAGCAUAUCAAUAAGCGGAGGA
rnacentral:rRNA from 2 species